rnacentral:rRNA from 1 species
GUGGGGAAUUUUCCGCAAUGGGCGAAAGCCUGACGGAGCAACGCCGCGUGAGGGAUGAAGGCCUCUGGGCUGUAAACCUCUUUUAUCAAGGAAGAAGAUCUGACGGUACUUGAUGAAUAAGCCACGGCUAAUUCCGUGCCAGCAGCCGCGGUAAUACGGGAGUGGCAAGCGUUAUCCGGAAUUAUUGGGCGUAAAGCGUCCGCAGGCGGCCCUACAAGUCUGCUGUUAAAAAGUGGAGCUUAACUCCAUCAUGGCAGUGGAAACUGUUGGGCUUGAGUGUGGUAGGGGCAGAGGGAAUUCCCGGUGUAGCGGUGAAAUGCGUAGAUAUCGGGAAGAACACCAGUGGCGAAGGCGCUCUGCUGGGCCAUCA